GUGUGUGUGUGUGUGUGUGUGCGCGUGUGUGUGAGUGCGCGCCCAGGUGUGUAUUAGUGUUGGUGUUGUAAUGUGUACACAGUAUAUUACAACAACAGUAUCCUGACAGGUGAUUAUAUCCUGACAGGUGAUUAUAUCCUGACAGGUGAUUAUAUCCUGACAGGUAAUUAUAUCCUGACAGGUGAUUAUAUCCUGACAGGUAAUAAUAUCCUGACAGGUAAUUAUAUCCUGACAGGUUAUUAUAUCCUGACAGGUGAUUAUAUCCCGACAAGUGAUUAUAUCCUGACAGGUGAUUAUAUCCUGACAGGUGAUUAUAUCCAGACAAGUGAUUAUAUCCUGACAGGUGAUUAUAUCCUGACAGGUGAUUAUAUCCUGACAGGUAAUAAUAUCCUGACAGGUAAUUAUAUCCUGACAGGUAAUAAUAUCCUGACAGGUGAUUAUAUCCUGACAGGUAAUACUAUCCUGACAGGUAAUUAUAUCCUGACAGGUAAUUAUAUCCUGACAGGUAAUAAUAUCCUGACAGGUGAUUAUAUCCUGACAGGUAAUAAUAUCCUGACAGGUAAUUAUAUCCUGACAGGUGAUUAUAUUCUACCAGGUAAUAAUAUCCUGACAGGUGAUUAUAUCCUACCAGGUAAUAAUAUCCUGACAGGUGAUUAUAUCCUGACAGGUGAUUAUAUCCUACCAGGUAAUUACAUCCUAAAAGGUAAUAAUAUCCUUAUUAUUUUUAUACAAACAUGAUAAUUAUUCACCUAACCCCCCCCCCCCUUCACUAUUCUGAUUUCUUAAUGAUAAAGAUAAUUAACGUAGUAAUGACAUAAACCUUUGCUAUAACAUAAUUAGUACUUAAUGAUAUAUAUAUAUACCAUAAUUAGGACACAGAUUACCAAGAGCCUUACCAUUCAACACAGUUUACAAAUAUGAUCAUAAAUAUACCAUAAUUGUUAUAUAAUUUAACUAUAAUAUGAACAAAGAUUUUUAUUGAUAUUAAAACAAAAAUGAUGUAAACUUCAAUAGAUUUUUAUGAUUGUAAUAAAUUAACCAAAAGGUGUAAUAAAGGUUAUAUAUAUAUAAGAGCGUA